rnacentral:rRNA from 1 species
GACGAACGCUUGCGGCGUGCCUAAGAAAUGCAAGUCGAACGGGGCAGAGCCUUCGGGCUCUGUUCAGUGGCGAACGGUCGCGUAACACGUAAGCAACCUGCCCCGAAGUGGGGGAUAACAGCUCGAAAGGGCUGCUAAUACCGCAUGUGGUCACAAGGGCGCAUGUUCUUGUGUCUAAAGCCUUGUGCGCUUCGGGAUGGGCUUGCGGCCUAUCAGUUAGUUGGGGGGUAACGGCCUACCAAGGCGUUGACGGGUAGCUGGUCUGAGAGGAUGGUCAGCCGGAUUGGGACUGAGACACGGCCCAGACUCCUACGGGGGCAGCAAUUAGGAAUCUUGCGCAAUGGGGGCAACCCUGACGCAGCGACGCCGCGUGCGGGAUGACGGCCUCGGCGUGUAACG